CGGGCAGUAGGUCAGUGGUAGGGCUCCCGCUUAGUAUGCGGGAAGACCUGGAUUCGAUCUCCGGCUGCUUAC
rnacentral:tRNA from 1 species